GCGAACGCUGGCGGCAGGCUUAACACAUGCAAGUCGAGCGGGCACUUUCGGGUGUCAGCGGCGGACGGGUGAGUAACGCGUGGGAACGUGCCCUCUGGUUCGGAAUAACUCAGGGAAACUUGAGCUAAUACCGGAUACGUCCUUUUGGGGAAAGGCUUGCUGCCGGAGGAUCGGCCCGCGUCUGAUUAGCUAGUUGGUGAGGUAACGGCUCACCAAGGCGACGAUCAGUAGCUGGUCUGAGAGGAUGAUCAGCCACACUGGGACUGAGACACGGCCCAGACUCCUACGGGAGGCAGCAGUGGGGAAUAUUGGACAAUGGGCGCAAGCCUGAUCCAGCCAUGCCGCGUGAGUGAUGAAGGCCUUAGGGUUGUAAAGCUCUUUUAUCCGGGACGAUAAUGACGGUACCGGAGGAAUAAGCCCCGGCUAACUUCGUG
rnacentral:rRNA from 1 species